rnacentral:rRNA from 1 species
AGAGUUUGAUCAUGGCUUAGGAUAAACGCUGGCGGCGCACAUAAGACAUGCAAGUCGAACGAACUUAACCAUUAGUUUACUAUUGGAGCGGUUAGUGGCGGACUGGUGAGUAACACGUAAGCAACCUGCCUAUCAGAGGGGGACAACAGUUAGAAAUGACUGCUAAUACCGCAUAUGCCUUAGAAUCACAUGGUUUCGAAAGGGAAAGGUGCAAUCCGCUGAUAGAUGGGCUUGCGU